GGAGGAUAGCCCGGGGAAACUCGGAUUAAUACUCCAUAUGAUUUUGAUUGGCAUCAAUUAAGAUUGAAAGAUUUAUUGGAUAAGGAUAGGCAUGCGUCAGAUUAGUUAGUUGGUAGUGUAAUGGACUACCAAGGCGAUGAUCUGUAGGGGGCCUGAGAGGGUGAACCCCCACACUGGUACUGAGACACGGACCAGACUCCUACGGGAGGCAGCAGUGAGGAAUAUUGGACAAUGGAGGGAACUCUGAUCCAGCCAUCCCGCGUGCAGGAAGACGGCCCUAUGGGUUGUAAACUGCUUUUGUAUGGGGAUAAAUCUACUUACGUGUAGGUAGUUGAAGGUACCAUACGAAUAAGCAUCGGCUAACUCCGUGCCAGCAGCCGCGGUAAUACGGAGGAUGCAAGCGUUAUCCGGAUUCAUUGGGUUUAAAGGGUCCGUAGGCGGGCUAAUAAGUCAGUGGUGAAAUUUUGUCGCUUAACGAUAAAACUGCCAUUGAUACUGUUAGUCUUGAGUGAUAUUGAAGUAGCUGGAAUGUGUAGUGUAGCGGUGAAAUGCAUAGAUAUUACACAGAACACCGAUUGCGAAGGCAGGUUACUAAGUAUUAACUGACGCUGAAGGACGAAAGCGUGGGGAGC
rnacentral:rRNA from 1 species